CAGCAGCCGCGGGAAUACGUAGGUGGCAAGCGUUGUCCGGAAUUAUUGGGCGUAAAGGGCUCGCAGGCGGUUUCUUAAGUCUGAUGUGAAAGCCCCCGGCUCAACCGGGGAGGGUCAUUGGAAACUGGGAAACUUGAGUGCAGAAGAGGAGAGUGGAAUUCCACGUGUAGCGGUGAAAUGCGUAGAGAUGUGGAGGAACACCAGUGGCGAAGGCGACUCUCUGGUCUGUAACUGACGCUGAGGAGCGAAAGCGUGGGGAGCGAACAGGAUUAGAUACCCGUGUAGUCCCUGUCUCUUAUAA
rnacentral:rRNA from 1 species